rnacentral:rRNA from 1 species
AUUGAACGCUGGCGGCAGGCCUAACACAUGCAAGUCGAACGAGUGGCGGACGGGUGAGUAAUGUCUGGUAAACUGCCUGAUGGAGGGGGAUAACUUCUGGAAACGGUAGCUAAUACCGCAUACCAUCGGAUGUGCCCAGAUGGGCUUAGCUAGUAGGUGGGGUAACGGCUCACCUAGGCGCCGAUCCCUAGCUGGUCUGAGAGGAUGACAAGCAACACUGGAACUGCGAUACGUUCCAGAUGCCUAUGGGAGGAAGCAGUGGGGAAUAUUGGACAAUGGGCGCAAGCCUGAUGCAGCCAUGCCGCGGUUACGAAGAAGGCAUUCGGGUUGUAAAGUACUUGCAGCGGGGAGGCGUUACUCGUAGAAGAAGCACCGGCUAACCCCGUGCCAGCAGCCGCGGUAAUAC